ACAGAUAACUCACUGGCAAAAUGCUUCUGUUGUUUCUGUCUCUGGUUUUGGGAACUCCACAAGGACAAGGGGUUACAGUAACGUGUGACAAUAUAUCGGUUUCAAAAGACCAGCAACUAACACUGUGCUGUACAGUGGAUUACACUGCCAUAAAAACUAUCAAACAUGGGACGAAGGGGACCACAAAUGACACAACAUGUGUUACUGAGUGGUUUGCAUGGAAGUAUGCAGAUAAUGUACUACGGGAAUGUGGGAAAGACUGUCACAAGAUAGAAACGGAAGCACCACACUACUAUUAUACGAAAGAAAAUGUUACAAAAGCUGAUGAGGGUAAUUACACUUUUUACAUUGGCACAAACUGUGGGAUUGGUUCAGGGACAACAAGCUUUUUCACUGAUGCAGUUACUGCGAAAAGUGUUGACAACUGGAGAAAGCAACAAGUAUGGUUAGCUCUGGUUGUCAUCAUCUGCGUCGUCGCUGUUCUGGGCGUUCUAUUGUUUCUAAAAACUUCUCGUUCUGGCAGAAGAUUGAUGGAACGACUCAAGAGUUCUAUGACCCAGAGCAACAACAACACUGAUGAGAGCCCUGAAGGUUCAAGAGAGGCCGUUACCCUGGUGCCUGCAUAACAUUCAGCGUGAGCCAGUUGUCUUGUUGGUUCUUUCGAAAUGAACUCCACGUUGACCUCUGCUAUGUUGCUGUAUGUCAGAUGCAUUCCAUACCAAUAAAACACUACUCACUUUUGCACCUAAAUUAGUUUUGCACCAACAUUUGUGGAAUCAGUUAGUGAAAUCACUAAUAAUCGUCUUUCACAGAAAAAAGGGUGCUAUCUAGAACCAUCCCCAUAGGAGAACCCUUUGAAUAACUCUGGUUCCAGGUAGAACCCUUUUCAUAACCCUUAAGCUUGUUUACAAAGGGAGUUGGUUUUGGUCUAUAUAUACAUUGAUGUUGUAAUAUUCUGUAAUAUUCUCACAAGCAUUGUUUUCAUAACUACUAAGCUAAACUUGUUUUUAGUUUUAGCCUAAACUCUGACGUAAUUUUCUGGGACUCAUGUUUUUUUAAUUAAUAUAAAAUGUUAUUGAUUUGUGUACAAAUAAACGUUUGGAAAUAACCAGUCUUCAUAAUGUUAUUUCUCUCAUAUAGAGCUUGUUGUCUUGUGCCGAAUUAUUAUCUCCAACAAUAAUGUACAUUUCAGUUAUCACAGCACAUAGAGUACCCGUCAGCAGAAAAUAACCACAACACUUCCUGUGAACAAGUCAACAGAGGAAACUCUUCUCUAUCCAUUUAUUCAGUUGUUCACCAUUUUACCCUGCCAAAAGACAGUUCACCAGUCAGUUGUGAGUGUUUUGCGCGUGUGGAAGAGUGUUUGGAGCUCUCUGAUAAAUGCAGCUGGUACCUAGUCGGCAGGAUGGAUGUUCUGUUGUGGAGAUGUGUGCUGGGACUCCUCUGCAGCCCUGCAGUGCUCACCUGGACAGGUAAGUGAGUUUUUAGUUGACCCUAAAUGGACAAUUAACCGUCAGACAAAAAAAAGGAGGACCAAGGUGGCAUU
rnacentral:lncRNA from 1 species